rnacentral:rRNA from 1 species
CUCUCCUAAGCUUCAGCUUACGCAGACCGUACCGUAAACCGACACAGGUGGGUAGGAUGAGAAUUCUCAGGCGCUUGAGAGAACUCGGGUGAAGGAACUAGGCAAAAUAGCACCGUAACUUCGGGAGAAGGUGCGCCUCUUCUGGUUAAUAGCUGGGGGAGGCCGAAGUGACCAGGCCGCUGCGACUGUUUAUCAAAAACACAGCACUCUGCAAACACGAAAGUGGACGUAUAGGGUGUGACGCCUGCCCGGUGCUGGAAGGUUAAUUGAUGGGGUCAGCCGCAAGGCGAAGCUCUUGAUCGAAGCCCCAGUAAACGGCGGCCGUAACAAUAACGGUCCUAAGGUAGCGAAAUUCCUUGUCGGGUAAGUUCCGACCUGCACGAAUGGCGUAACGACAGCGGCGCUGUCUCCACCCGAGACUCAGUGAAAUUGAAAUCGCUGUGAAGAUGCAGCGUACCCGUGGCAAGACGGAAAGACCCCGUGAACCUUUACUAUAGCUUUACAUUGAACGUUGAGUUCGUCUGUGUAGGAUAGGUGGGAGGCUUUGAAGCGAUGGCGCUAGCUGUCGUGGAGCCAACCUUGAAAUACCACCCUGUCGUGCUUGACGUUCUAACCUAGCUCCGUAAUCCGGAGCGGGGACCAUGUAUGGUGGGUAGUUUGACUGGGGCGGUCUCCUCCCAAAGAGUAACGGAGGAGCACGAAGGUACGCUCAGCGCGGUCGGACAUCGCGCACUGUGUGCAAAGGCAUAAGCGUGCUUGACUGCGAGAUCGACGGAUCAAGCAGGUACGAAAGUAGGUCUUAGUGAUCCGGUGGUUCUGUAUGGAAGGGCCAUCGCUCAACGGAUAAAAGGUACUCCGGGGAUAACAGGCUGAUACCGCCCAAGAGUUCAUAUCGACGGCGGUGUUUGGCACCUCGAUGUCGGCUCAUCACAUCCUGGGGCUGUAGUCGGUCCCAAGGGUAUGGCUGUUCGCCAUUUAAAGUGGUACGCGAGCUGGGUUCAGAACGUCGUGAGACAGUUCGGUCCCUAUCUGCCAUGGGCGUUGGAGAUUUGAGAGGGGCUGCUCCUAGUACGAGAGGACCGGAGUGGACGAACCUCUGGUGUUCCGGUUGUCACGCCAGUGGCACUGCCGGGUAGCUACGUUCGGAAGCGAUAACCGCUGAAAGCAUCUAAGCGGGAAGCGCGCCUCAAGAUGAGAUCUCCCUGGACACAAGUCCCCUAAAGGAACGAUGAAGACUACGUCGUUGAUAGGUCAGGUGUGUAAGUGCAGUAAUGCAUUGAGCUAACUGAUACUAAUGAUCCGUGCGGCUUGACCAA